rnacentral:rRNA from 1 species
UACGGGGGGGGCAAGCGUUGUUCGGAAUUACUGGGCGUAAAGGGCGCGUAGGCGGCCUGCUAAGUCGGACGUGAAAUCCCUCGGCUCAACCGAGGAACUGCGUCCGAUACUGGUGGGCUUGAAUCCGGGAGAGGGAUGUGGAAUUCCAGGUGUAGCGGUGAAAUUCGUAGAUAUUCGGAAGAACACCAGUGGCGAAGGCGGCUCACUGGACCGGCAUUGACGCUGAGGUGCGAAAGCGUGGGGAGCAAACAGG